rnacentral:misc_RNA from 1 species
AAAGUCGUAACAAGGUUUCCGUAGGUGAACCUGCGGAAGGAUCAUUACAGAGUUCAUGCCCUUCGGGGUAGACCUCCCACCCUUGAAUACUUAUACCUUUGUUGCUUUGGCAAGUCGCUUCGGCUACUGGCUUCGGUUAGUAUGUACUUGCCAGAGAACCAAAACUCUGUCAUUAAAUGUCGUCUGAGUACUAUAAUAAUAGUUAAAACUUUCAACAACGGAUCUCUUGGUUCUG